AGGGAGAAGAAGCUGGAAAACUGCCUUCUAACUAACUGGCUGAUCCCAUAAUGUAUCCUGAAGUGGCCAUCUUAAGCCUCAUCCUACAUCUGGCAGAUUCUGUAGCUGGUUCUGUAAAGGUUGGUGGAAUGGCAGGUCCGUCUAUCACGCUACCCUGCCACUACAAUGGAGCUGUCACAUCCAUGUGCUGGAAUAGAGGCGCACGUUCUUUAUUCACAUGCUGAAAUAGCAUUGUCUGGACCAAUGGAACCCACGUCACCUAUCGGAAGGACACACACUAUAAGGUAUUGGGGGACCUUUCAAGAAGGGAUGUCCCUUUGACUAUAGAAAAUACAGCUGUGUCUGACAGUGGCUUAUAUUGUUGCCAUGUUGAGCACAGUGGGUGGUUCAAUGACAUGAAAAUCACUCUAUCAUUGGAGAUUGUGCCACCCAGGGUCACGACUACACCAAUUGUCACAACUGUUCCAACCGCCACUACUGUUUGAACGAGCAUCACUGUUCCAAUGACAACAAGCGUUCCAACGACAACAACUGUUCCAACGACAAAGACUGUUCCAACAACAACGAGCAUUUCAAUGAAAACAAGUGUUCCAAUGACAACAAUGGUCUCUACCUUUGUUCCUCCAACGCCAUUGCCCACGCAGAACCAUCAAUCAGUAGCCACUUCACCAUCUUCACCUCAGCCAGCAGAAACCCACCCUAUGACACUUCAGGGAGAAAUAAGGACACAACCCACCAGCUCACCAUUGC
ensembl:lncRNA novel transcript